UGGCUCAGGAUGAACGCUAGCGGCAGGCUUAAAACAUGCAAGUCGAACGGUAACAGGGAAAAGCUUGCUUUUCUGCUGAGCGAACGGGUGCGUAACACGUAUGCAACUUACCUUUAACAGGGGGAUAGCCCAGAGAAAUCUGGAUUAAUACCCCAUAACAUUAUCAUUUCGCAUGUUAUGAUAAUUAAAACUCCGGUGGUUAGAGAUAGGCAUGCGUCCCAUUAGUUAGUUGGUAAGGUAACGGCUUACCAAGGCAGCGAUGGGUAGGGGGUCUGAGAGGAUGAUCCCCCACACUGGUACUGAGACACGGACCAGACUCCUACGGGAGGCAGCAGUGAGGAAUAUUGGGCAAUGGACGCAAGUCUGACCCAGCCAUGCCGCGUGCAGGAAGAAUGCCCUAUGGGUUGUAAACUGCUUUUAUAUACCAAGAAACGCAGAUACGUGUACCUGUCUGACGGUAGUAUAUGAAUAAGCACCGGCUAACUCCGUGCCAGCAGCCGCGGUAAUACGGAGGGUGCAAGCGUUAUCCGGAUUUAUUGGGUUUAAAGGGUUCGUAGGCGGGACUUUAAGUCAGUGGUGAAAUCCUGCAGCUUUACUGUAGAACUGCCAUUGAUACUGCUAAUCUUGAGUGUAGUUGAGGUGGGCGGAAUGUGUAAUGUAGCGGUGAAAUGCAUAGAUAUUACACAGAACACCGAUUGCGAAGGCAGCUCACUAAACUAUUACUGACGCUAAGGCACGAAAGCGUGGGGAGCGAACAGGAUUAGAUACCCUGGUAGUCCACGCCGUAAACGUUGAUUACUCGCUGCUGGCAAUACAUCGUCAGUGGCUGAGCGAAAGCAUUAAGUAAUCCGCCUGGGAAGUACGUUCGCAAGGAUGAAACUCAAAGGAAUUGACGGGGGCCCGCACAAGCGGAGGAACAUGUGGUUUAAUUCGAUGAUACGCGAGGAACCUUACCUGGGCUUAAAUGUAGAGUGCAUGACUUGGAAACAGGUCUUUCCUUCGGGUCUUUACAAGGUGCUGCAUGGUUGUCGUCAGCUCGUGCCGUGAGGUGUCGGGUUAAGUCCCAUAACGAGCGCAACCCCUACUGUUAGUUGCCAUCGGGUCAUGCCGGGGACUCUAACGGGACUGCCGGUGUAAACCGCGAGGAAGGUGGGGAUGACGUCAAAUCAGCACGGCCCUUAUGUCCAGGGCUACACACGUGUUACAAUGGCCGAUACAAUGAGCAGCUACCAGGCAACUGGAUGCUAAUAUCCAAAGUCGGUCUCAGUUCGGAUCGGAGUCUGCAACUCGACUCCGUGAAGUUGGAUUCGCUAGUAAUCGGAUAUCAGCCACGGCGCGGUGAAUCGUUCCCGGGCAUUGUACACACCGCCCGUCAAGCCAUGGAAGCUUGGGGUAC
rnacentral:rRNA from 1 species